CCCUUAGAUGUCCUGGGCCGCACGCGCGUUACACUGAUGCAUUCAACGAGCUUAUAACCUUGGCCGAGAGGCCUGGGCAAUCUUGUUAACGUGCAUCGUGAUAGGGAUAGAUUAUUGAAAUUAUUAAUCUUGAACGAGGAAUUCCUAGUAAACGCAGAUCAUCAAUCUGCAUUGAUUACGUCCCUGCCCUUUGUACACACCGCCCGUCGCACCUACCGAUUGGAUGGUCCGGUGAAGCCUCGGGAUUGUGGUUCUUGCCGCUUUAUUGUGGCGUGACCGCGAGAACUUGUCUAAACCUUAUCAUCUAGAGGGAGGUGAAGUCGUAACA
rnacentral:rRNA from 1 species